AUCAUACGUACCUGAGACCAAGAUUAUGUUGUGUGCUAUGCUUUCUGGAGUUGUUAUACUCCCUCUGAUAUUGUUCCUUGAAUGCCAUUAUGAGUACAAGUCAAUGGCAAGUUCUGGAAAAAGACUCUGACAUGAUGAACAAUUCUUCAAUACCCCCAGCCCAAUUAGGCCUUAGCCCCUCAUCUAGCAUUCGUCACACACGCCCCCUCAAGAACCUUUCUCCACCACCUUUCUAUCAGCAUGUAAUAUGCAAUCAUUCAUUCACUGAACGCAUUUGGAUGAAUUGGACAAAUAGUAACCCUUAUAAGUACCAGUUACCCAUAUGAAAUGUGUCUACAGCUAAUGAAACCGAUGCAUUAUGUUUGUUUAAAGGUUCACAGAAAAUUGUUAGAUCUUAUAACGCAGAAAUGUGCACAGUUAAGGUUGCAUAUCAAUGUAAAUAGACAGGCCUUAUUACUUUUAAUAAUGAUUAUACAACUGGUAUCAUUAAUUGGAAAAGGGGACAAAUGUUAGUCAUUAUGAACGACACUACCUUAUAUUUUUACACCUUAUUACUGUCCUUUAUCCUCUACCAUAGAACCAAAAGUCAACAACGACACACACACACCUAUUCCGUCCACAUGUAUUAAUACAACUGCCUUCUUACAAGCUGUACAUGUGUCAUUAAAAGUCACUACUCUUGUUGUAACAUUAUGUAAUACAACAAACAAAGGCAGAAAAGGGAAUGGUAUGACACACUGUUAGAUGGUGCUGGAACCACUAUGGGUAUACUAAAUAGUUAUAGAUAUGGAGACCCUCAAGAAUAAGUUAAACACAGCCAGCAUGCAUAUAGGGACUGGUUUUCAUGCUACUGCAAAUUGGGCUCCAAUUGUUGUUAAAUCACAGGUUAUAGGAUUGGAUUUAGAUAAAUCAAUGUAUAAUUAUUUAGAUAAUUUAACUGUUGCAACUAUGAAAUUCACUACAGGUUUAAGUAACUGGAGUAUUUGUGCCAUCAGGUAUUUAUGGAUACAACAAGGAUUGGCAUUAGAAAACACACUAAUGAUUCCUAAACUAGAGAAGAUUAGAGGAAUGUGUAACCUCACAGAUAAUGAUUGGUUACUUCUAAAACCCCAAUCCAGUAAAUGCAAUGGAUGGUUAACUGGUAAUGUUUCACAUUUUUCAUGCUCAUGCUAUUUAACAUUAUAUCAUACAUUAUCAAAGGAUGUUAAAUUAGCUUGUCAAUUUAACACAUUACCAGUACCAGUUUAUGAUCUUUUUGCCAAGAAUUUAACCUGGUGGGCACCCACAUACACAGGGGACUAUAUUUUUCCCAAAGAUAACAUACACAGGUAGCCACACAUAUCCUAAAAGGAGAACUCCUUAAGGUGAGUUCACAAAUUCAGAAUGAUUUAGCCCAUCAUUGGUACGAUGCUUCACUGGUUGGUCCCCUACUGGAUCUCAGAUAAUGAAAUCAUUCUUCUAUCAUUUUGUUAUUAUAGUCCUGAUUUUAUUGUGUAUGAUUUUAUAUAACUGUCACCUUAGUUGUACAUUGAGGAAGUGAGUACAGAAAUUAAUCCAUAAUGCAGAACAGAAACAAUUAGAAAUUCUCCUCUCUGCCACUGUAGAGUAUCAACCCAUUUUUAAACUGGGCCUUAGGAAUUACCACAUGGGAAUCGAGGUGAAGAAAUUAAUGAAAGUCCCGCAGGGAGUGACUAGCACCCCUGAAAAUACCAUGUGGAAGUUUCUCUGUCCUGGUAAGAUUUUAUCGAUAAGAUGAGCAAUUGUUUUAUUGCUCAAAGAGGGGAAUGUAAGAAUAUUAAAUAGUUAACUUGUUUAUAUGUAUUUUAUGC
rnacentral:lncRNA from 1 species